CUUGGCCUCCACCACUUUCUGCUAUCCACACACCUGGCAAAGUGGAACAAAACAAGUUUCUGUUUAAAAACAAGGACUCCCAGCAUGUCUCUACAGGACACAGCAAUCAAAGAAAAGAUGAUGUUGAGCCAAAGAAUUCAGAAGACUGUACCUUGC